rnacentral:rRNA from 1 species
UACGUAGGGUGCAAGCGUUGUCCGGAUUUAUUGGGCUUAAAGGGUGCGUAGGCGGCCUUGUAAGUCUGUGGUGAAAUACUCCAGCUUAACUGGAGGGGAGCCAUUGAUACUGCAGGGCUUGAGUUAAGUUGAAGUUGGCGGAAUUGACGGUGUAGCGGUGAAAUGCGUAGAUAUCGGGAGGAACACCGAUGGUGAAGGCAGCUAACUGGACUGUUACUGACGCUGAGGCGCGAAAGUGUGGGGAGCAAACAGG